UCCAGACUCCUACGGGAGGCAGCAGUGGGGAAUAUUGCACAAUGGGGGGAACCCUGAUGCAGCGACGCCGCGUGAGGGAAGAAGGUUUUCGGAUUGUAAACCUCUGUCCUCUGUGACGAUAAUGACGGUAGCAGAGGAGGAAGCCACGGCUAACUACGUGCCAGCAGCCGCGGUAAUACGGAGGGGGCAAGCGUUACUCGGAAUCACUGGGCGUAAAGAGCGCGUAGGCGGGAUAGCAAGUCAGAUGUGAAAUCCUAUGGCUUAACCAUAGAACUGCAUUUGAAACUGUUAUUCUAGAGUAUGGGAGGGGUAGGUGGAAUUCUUGGUGUAGGGGUAAAAUCCGUAGAGAUCAAGAGGAAUACUCAUUGCGAAGGCGACCUGCUAGAACAUAACUGACGCUGAUGCGCGAAAGCGUGGGGAGCAAACAGGAUUAGAUACCCCUGUACUC
rnacentral:rRNA from 1 species